UACGUAGGGGGCGAGCGUUGUCCGGAAUUAUUGGGCGUAAAGAGCUCGUAGGCGGUUCGGCAAGUCACGUGUGAAAUCUCCACGCUCAACGUGGAGUCGCCACGUGAGACUGCCGUGACUCGAGUCCGGUAGGGGAGCGUGGAAUUCCCGGUGUAGCGGUGAAAUGCGCAGAGAUCGGGAGGAACACCCGUAGCGAAGGCGGCGCUCUGGGCCGGUACUGACGCUGAGGUGCGAAAGCGUGGGGAGCAAACAGG
rnacentral:rRNA from 1 species